rnacentral:rRNA from 1 species
GGCGGACAAAGGGGAAGCCCGUAUCGACCGGGGCUGUACCGGAGCUAACGCGUUAAGUUUCCCGCCUGGGGAGUACGCACGCAAGUGUGAAACUCAAAGGAAUUGACGGGGGCCCGCACAAGCGGUGGAGUAUGUGGUUUAAUUCGAUGCAACGCGAAGAACCUUACCAGGGCAAGACAACUUCGGGAGGCUGGGGAAACUCAGUUGUGCCCUUAGGGGAACCGGAGAGCAGGUGGUGCAUGGCUGUCGUCAGCUCGUGUCGUGAGAUGUUGGGUUAAGUCCCGCAACGAGCGCAACCCUCGUGCUUAGUUGCCAGUCCCGAAAGGGAGGCACUCUAAGGAGACUGCCGGUGACAAACCGGAGGAAGGUGGGGAUGACGUCAAGUCAGCAUGCCCCUUACGUCCUGGGCGACACACGUACUACAAUGCGGCGGACAAAGGGCAGCGAGCCUGCGAGGGUGAGCCAAUCCCAGAAACUGCCGCUCAGUUCAAAUCGCUCUCUGCAACUCGAGAAGCGUGAAGGAGGAAAUCGCUAGUAAUUGAAAG